UUCCCCCUGCUGCACCCGUAAAUACCGACCAUUAACAUUGAAAUUCAUUCUUCCCCCUUUCUAAUAUCACCACCAUCGAAGUAUCUUUCUAUCUGUAGAACCCCAAAAGCAAAACCUAAUCUGGUCCGAUCUCCUUGGUGUCUGUAAGAAGAGGAAAUCAAGAAAUUAUCAUGGGUUUUCAUUAUUGAGAGUUAAGAAGAGGAAUUUGAAAUUGAUUCUCAAAUUACAGCGAAGGAAUUAGAGGAUUAGGUUUCGUUUUACGUCUAAGAUUAAGAAGCUAAUUGAGAAAACUAGGGUUUUGUUUGUGCUACAAAUCGAAGAAUUAAACGGAAUCAAUAAAUGGGUUUGUUUUAAUUAGGUUUAGAAUUGGUUUAUUAAUGGAUUAGAGUUUUAUGGAUUAGGAUUUCUAACAGAUUGGGGAUUUAGGGUUCAUGGAUUUGAAUUACAGAUGAAAAAGAUGAAACUGAUGGUGAGAAAUUAUAAGAAGAAAAUUGAGUUUGUGUCUGAGGUGGUGGUGGUUUAAUGAGCUACAUAACUAUAAAGAUUGUAAUGGUGAUGGAAUUGAAAUAAUAGUUCGGUUGAUGUGGUCUUGAAUGAGCUACAACAGUUGAUCUUAGCUUGGCUUAGAUUGUAAUGAUUUGAAUGGUGAUGGAUGAGUAUUGGUUGUGCUGAGAUGCUUUUGAUGAUGAUGCUAUGGUCAGUCAUAAUGGUUGUGACUGAAAGAUAUUGAAAUGAAUAAUGUUGCUGCUAUGAAGAUGGUGGUUUAAAUGUCUAUGUGGCUGAAUGAUAGUGAUUUGAAGGAAUGACGCUAAUUUGAAGAGAUUUGAAAUGUUCAUAAAUUUUAGGUCAAGAUCUUGAAACAUGAGUGGCCAGCUAGGUGGUGAAAUUUUAUUCCGGAUCUUGUUUCAGUAGCGAAGACAAGUGAAACAAUAUGUUAGAAUUUCGUGGCUGUAUUAAAAUGAGGUUCAACUUAUUCACGAGCUAUGCCUAUAUGUGCUAUCUGCAUCUCAAAGAACUGAGCUAUAAGAGCAACACUGGCUACGUUGCACUCUUUCCUUUCAUGGUUUCCUCUGGGCUACAUAUUUGAAUCCCCACUGGGUGUGGAAACAUAUAGGAAUCUUACUCUCCAAUGUUUGUCUGAGGUAGCUGCCCUUCAGUUUAGAGACUUCUAUAACAUGAAGUAUGUGAAAAUGUACACUGUCUUCAUUUCACAAUUACAGCCUUGUAGGGAUGGAGUUUGGGUCUAAUAUAUUGAGUUUAAUGCUGGAGAUGAGGUGGCGGUGUUCAGUUCAUGUAGUAAACAUGCUUAUGUAUCCUUCUAUGUAUAAUGUUUGGUGCAAAUUAAGAGAUUUCCCAGCAACUCAAGACUGAAAGCAUCACUAGUCAGCUCUGCCUUCUUCACUGGGCUUAGUAGAAGCACAUGGUCUGCAGUUUGAAGCUAGGUCCAGGACCCAGCUGCGGCUGGAGCAUCAAUAUAAGCCUUUCUUUCAAAUCUUAGAAAAGAUUUAUCGCUUCUUCCUCUUACCCAAAGAUCCCUCCAUUGUAGAGACACUACUUUCAAAACACAUAAGGUCUUAUUUUCGUAGUUAAAAGCAGUGACAGAGACCGUGUUAUUGAGGCAAGGGAUGAACUGCAGACGAAGUUUAGUGAGUUAGUGUUUUUAUCACCUUGCUUGGUGCUGACUUCAUGAGAAUGAAAUCUUUCGGCGAAGUUGAAGAGUUUGCGGAGACUCUGGUUAGUAAAUUAGAUAGAAGUUGGAAAAAGGGCAUCUGCAAGACUUACCGCAUGCAAAAUUCUCAAACUGUAGAAGAUAAUGGAGAAGAACAUGAAGAACAUGGAACCAAGAAGAAGAGGUUGUUGAUGUCGAUGUUGAUUCUACAGAUGGCGCUAUUGUUACAAUUCUUUUUGACAAUGGCUACUCUCAUGGUGUACAUUGGUUUUGCAGGUCACAGAUAUGAGUAGUAAGUGCGACUAUUUACAAGGCUGGUUAUGAAGCAACAAGAAGCUAUACUUGUUUGAGCAUGUAGGUAAUGAAUGCUGAGCUUGUCUCCAGUCUUGUGCCUUUAAGAUUGUACCUACUACUACUAUUACACUUCACAUUACAACUGCAACUGCAGAAUUUCUAUGUUAUGAAAACUUAGGAAAUGUUUACAUAAUUGUCAUUUUUUUGAUGCUACGCACAGAUUUUGUAUGUCCUUGGCACUUAAGAAAUAUUUCUAGCUACAGAUUGGAACUUAAGAAAUUUAUAUGUAUUGCCUAAGUAAUUCUUUUCA